ACGGGUGAGUAAUGUCUGGGGAUCUGCCCGAUAGAGGGGGAUAACCACUGGAAACGGUGGCUAAUACCGCAUAACGUCGCAAGACCAAAGAGGGGGACCUUCGGGCCUCUCACUAUCGGAUGAACCCAGAUGGGAUUAGCUAGUAGGCGGGGUAAUGGCCCACCUAGGCGACGAUCCCUAGCUGGUCUGAGAGGAUGACCAGCCACACUGGAACUGAGACACGGUCCAGACUCCUACGGGAGGCAGCAGUGGGGAAUAUUGCACAAUGGGCGCAAGCCUGAUGCAGCCAUGCCGCGUGUAUGAAGAAGGCCUUCGGGUUGUAAAGUACUUUCAGCGGGGAGGAAGGCGAUGUGGUUAAUAACCGCAUUGAUUGACGUUACCCGCAGAAGAAGCACCGGCUAACUCCGUGCCAGCAGCCGCGGUAAUACGGAGGGUGCAAGCGUUAAUCGGAAUUACUGGGCGUAAAGCGCACGCAGGCGGUCUGUUAAGUCAGAUGUGAGAUCCCCGGGCUUAACCUGGGAACUGCAUUUGAAACUGGCAGGCUUGAGUCUCGUAGAGGGGGGUAGAAUUCCAGGUGUAGC
rnacentral:rRNA from 1 species